rnacentral:rRNA from 1 species
UGGGGAAUAUUGGACAAUGGGCGAAAGCCUGAUCCAGCCAUGCCGCGUGUGUGAAGAAGGUCUUCGGAUUGUAAAGCACUUUAAGUUGGGAGGAAGGGCAGUAAGCGAAUACCUUGCUGUUUUGACGUUACCGACAGAAUAAGCACCGGCUAACUCUGUGCCAGCAGCCGCGGUAAUACUGAGGGUGCAAGCGUUCAUCGGAAUUACUGGGCGUAAAGCGCGCGUAGGUGGUUCGUUAAGUUGAAUGUGAAGGCCCCGGGCUCAACCUGGGAACUGCAUCCAAAACUGGCGGGCUAGAGUAGGGCAGAGGGUGGUGGAAUUUCCUGUGUAGCGGUGAAAUGCGUAGAUAUAGGAAGGAACAACAGUGGCGAAGGCGACCACCUGGGCUCAUACUGACACUGAGGUGCGAAAGCGGGGGGAGCAAACAGG